ACGUCCUUAGUUCAGAUGGUAGAACGUAGGUUUCCAAAACCUAAUGUCGUAGGUUCGAGUCCUACAGGACGUG
rnacentral:tRNA from 1 species